UCUCUCUAUACUCUCCCGGCUGACUCUCUCUCUCUCUCUCACCUCUCCUCCAAACUUCUCUAUUUGAUUUCAUCGCCUUAGAAUGAGAUUUCGGAAAAAUCCCAAGAACUAAAGUUGUUCUACGCGAUGAGAUCUUCCUAUCAAUCCAAGAAGAAUCAUGAUCGGAGCACUUUGAGGUUUCUUCCAUGUUCGGGCUUGCUUCUAACCUUCGAGAUUGAACUCGAGGCAAAAAGGAAGAUGGAGAUGGUCGCAUUUGAAAGAAAUUGUUUGGCAUGCUUAGUGAGUCAUGUUUAUUUGAUUGGAAUUGGGAUUGUUAGCAUUGUGUCGUAAAAUGGACAUGUCUAGAGCUAGAGUCGGUGCAUAUUUUUUAGUAGAAACUGGUGUGUGUCCUAGAUCUUCAUGAUCAUGUGUUGAUGUGUAAUGUGAUAUCUGUCGCAAGAGUGUUGUUUAGUAGUUUGGGUAUGGAUGAAUCGACAUAGGAAAGGAGAAACAAGGUUAGAAAGGAAUCCUUAUUUAUUUUUGGUAUAAUGAACGCAAGUUUCUCAAGUUAAGAUUUUGUGUUUGUUGAAUGGUUGCAUAACUUCGAUCACAAGUGGUUUUGCGUGUAUUCAUUGAGGCAGAACGUUAUAGACUGUGGUUUAUCAAAUUUCGAGGACGAAAUUUCUUUAAGAAUGGUAGAAUGUAGAGACCCGUAUUUAUUUUAAUAAUUUUAAUGCGAGAUUAUACUAUGAAAUGUGAAAUAUGAUGUGAAUAUGAGAUUUGGGGUCAAUGUGGUAAGGUUGUUAGUGGAGGGGUGUGAGUGUGAUUGGUGUUGGUGCUAGUAUAAAUAGGUGGGGGUGGUGUGUAGAGAAGUAAAAAUUCUUUUUUUCUUUCUCUCUCUCUCUACUCUCACGGCCGACUCUCACUCUCUCUCACCUCUCCUCCAAACUUCUCUCUUCGAUUUCAUCGCCUCAGAAUGAGAUUUCGGAAAAUUCCCAAGUACUAAAGUUGUUCUACGCGAUGAGAUCUUCCUAUCGAUCCAAGAAGAAUCAUGAUAGGAGCUCUUUGAGGUUUCCUCCAUGUUCGGGCUUGCUUCUAACCUUCGAGGUACUCGCCAUGGCAUUUAGCUUGGAUUGCAUGGAGUGCACAUUGAAACUUCUCUUGAGAGCUUCAUUGGAAACAUUAAGGAGGUGUUUAUCAUCUAGUCUAAUUCAUGUUGUGUACUUUACUUGCAAUUGAAGGUUGUACCUUUUGGUUAGAACAUAUGUAAAGCUAUGUAUAAAUUCCUCCUCAUGAUUAUUGUGAAGCCCCAUUUUGUGGAAGACGUUUGGGAGACUCUAUGUAAAAAAAAAAAAAAUUAGAGAGAAGAAGAAGAGACUUUGAUUCUUUGUUU